GAUGAACGUUGGCGGCGUGCCUAAUACAUGCAAGUCGAACGAAGACUGUAGUAAUACUGUCUUAGUGGCGAACGGGUGAGUAACGCGUGGGUGACCUGCCCCGAAGUGUGGGAUAACAGUCCGAAAGGAUUGCUAAUACUGCAUAAUAUCCAAGAGAUUAGAUGCUUUUGGAUUAAAGGAGUAAUUCGCUUCGGGAGGGGCCCGCGUCCCAUCAGCUAGUUGGUAAGGUAAUGGCUUACCAAGGCGAUGACGGGUAGGGGACCUGAGAGGGUGGCCCCCACAAUGGAACUGAAACACGGUCCAUACACCUACGGGUGGCAGCAGUAGGAAUAUUAGUAAUGGGCGAAAGCCUGAACUAGCAACGCCGCGUGUGCGAAGAAGGCCUUCGGGGUGUAAAGUUCGUUUUAUAUGUGAGCAGUGCUUCUUAUAUUAACAGUAAUGGGGAGAGAGAUAUUAGCAUAUGAAUAAGCAACGGCUAACUCCGUGCCAGCAGCCGCGGUAAUAUUCACG
rnacentral:rRNA from 1 species